UACGUAGGGUGCAAGCGUUUAAUCGGAAUUACUGGGCGUAAAGCGUGCGCAGGCGGUCUUGUAAGACAGAGGUGAAAUCCCCGGGCUCAACCUGGGAACUGCCUUUGUGACUGCAAGGCUUGAGUGCGGCAGAGGGGGAUGGAAUUCCGCGUGUAGCAGUGAAAUGCGUAGAUAUGCGGAGGAACACCGAUGGCGAAAGGCAGCCCCCUGGGCCAACACUGACGCUCAGCACGAAAGCGUGGGGAGCAAACAGG
rnacentral:rRNA from 1 species